GCUCUUGAUACCUUUCGUACUCGCUCACAUUUCAACCUGUUGAAUCAGUAAUGAGAAAGCGAAAGUUUACGCUUAUUCUAAAACAAAGAGACUGGUGCGCAAUGAAUGCCGCAAGGGGACCCUGCUGACGGGAAACGCGGGAAACGGCGUGGCAGCUGGACCGCUUUGCAUAAAGUGGGGCUGGUUGUGAAGACGCUGUCAAAGCGGCUGCGAUGGCAGUGUACACGGUUGAAGACAUCCAGAAGCUUGCUGAGGACAAGUUGGACAAGGGUGCAAGUCGAUACAUUGCUCUUGGUGCUGGUCGUGAACAAACUCUUAGGGAGAACACCCGGGCCUUUCAGAGGAUACGUUUCAGACCCCAAAUCUUCGUGGACGUGGAGAAAGUCAACACAUCGGCCACCUUGUUAGGACAGGCAGUAUCUUUGCCAGUAGGCCUUGCUCCUUCAGCGGCUCAGAAAAUCAUGAACCCGGAAGGGGAGAUCGGCUCUGCAAAAG